rnacentral:rRNA from 1 species
UAAGCCUACGGGGGGCAGCAGUAGGGAAUCUUCCACAAUGGGCGAAAGCCUGAUGGAGCAACGCCGCGUGGGUGAAGAAGGUCUUCGGAUCGUAAAACCCUGUUGUUAGAGAAGAAAGUGCGUGAGAGUAACUGUUCACGUUUCGACGGUAUCUAACCAGAAAGCCACGGCUAACUACGUGCCAGCAGCCGCGGUAAUACGUAGGUGGCAAGCGUUAUCCGGAUUUAUUGGGCGUAAAGAGAACGCAGGCGGUCUUUUAAGUCAGCGGUCAAAGCCCGGGGCUCAACCCCGGCCCGCC